GCGCGCGGCGUAGGCGCACCUUCGCUCUGUCGGCCGUGGUUUAGUAAGCACACACCUGCCUGCUACUCUGGUUAUCGUGGCGACGGCAGGUCUGGAUUGCCAGACAGGUUUUUCUUUUUACCUCGAGGCUUUCUCUGAAGGGAGUCGGAGCAUUUAAAAGGCGGCCUCAAGGUGGAUUGAGUCGGGGGAGGAUUAGCAGUAUUUGCUUAGGUUGUAAAACCGCGACUUUAUCUAAUAAAUCGCCAUUCAAGGUGCAAAUACAAACUUGGAACAGAGAUAUAAAUGAAUUCCUCAAGGUCAGAGACUGUUUUUAUUCAUUUCUACAUCUCCAACACCUGGCAAAGUGCCUAGGCCAUAAAAGAUGAUCUGCCUCUGAAACCUUCCAUGGGCACAGAAAUUUCUGCAAGGAAAGCAUCAGCAACCAGAAUAAUUUGGUGAGGAAGAUUUGGCACAGAAUACCCUGACUGAGGUAUUGCUCCAAAAGGAGCAAUCCUCUGGGGUUAGGAGUCAAUUAUUAGGUGCCUACAAAACACUCUGUUAUUUCGACUAAACAUGCCUUGCUGUAAAGGAGAAGAAAGAACUGUGCACUGAAAACCAGAACAGCCAAAAAAGAAUGUGGCUGUGGUCAUGGGAAAGGUCUUUGAAUAACAGGGAAAAGGAGACAGGGCAGUUGAAGGAAGGAUAAGAAAAGGCUACUUCCUAGCAGGAAUUAAUAAACUAAUGUUUUUAUUAUUUAAUAGAAACCCAUUCUUUUCUUUCAAAUAAGGCAGAGAUAAGUUAGGAUUGGAUGUAGCUAUAUAGAUCCCUAUUUCUGGCACAGGCUGAUAGCAAUAAAGGAAGUCAGAACACAACCCCACUCUCACCCACAUCCCACUUUGCAAAAACCAUGACCCAAAUGCCUCUGUAGAUACUGG
rnacentral:lncRNA from 1 species